CAGUGUUGUGGACAGUGUCUCUUCAGUUGAGUUCAAGUCAUUAGUCCUUCUGCAGAUCGGCUUUUUCAGACAGCAGAAUUUCCUGCAAGUCCUGAGUCUUUUGUCACCAUUUCAAUGAUGGAAUUUACAGGAGCGGCUCACUCUGUGUUUUUCUCAAGGCACAGAAGUCAUCCAGCUGCCAUCUGGACAAAGUGCUAAAUAAGCAAUAUUACAAAAAAGAAGAAAGAAAACUUUGACAGCGAAGGUAAGCAGCCUGUGCUUAUCAGUCCAGUUGUAGCAGGGC
ensembl:lncRNA